rfam:Chaetomium thermophilum var. thermophilum DSM 1495 unplaced genomic scaffold scf7180000011818, whole genome shotgun sequence.
GGCGGGAUGGCUGAGUGGUCUAAAGCGCCAGACUCGAAAUCUGGUCUCUUCGGAGGCGUCGGUUCGAAUCCGGCUCCCGUCG